AGUGAACGCUGGCGGUAGGCCUAACACAUGCAAGUCGAACGGCAGCACAGUAAGAGCUUGCUCUUACGGGUGGCGAGUGGCGGACGGGUGAGGAAUACAUCGGAAUCUACUUUUUCGUGGGGGAUAACGUAGGGAAACUUACGCUAAUACCGCAUACGACCUACGGGUGAAAGCAGGGGAUCUUCGGACCUUGCGCGAUUGAAUGAGCCGAUGUCGGAUUAGCUAGUUGGCGGGGUAAAGGCCCACCAAGGCGACGAUCCGUAGCUGGUCUGAGAGGAUAAUCAGCCACACUGGAACUGAGACACGGUCCAGACUCCUACGGGAGGCAGCAGUGGGGAAUAUUGGACAAUGGGCGCAAGCCUGAUCCAGCCAUGCCGCGUGGGUGAAGAAGGCCUUCGGGUUGUAAAGCCCUUUUGUUGGGAAAGAAAAGCAGCAGGUUAAUACCCCGCUGUUCUGACGGUACCCAAAGAAUAAGCACCGGCUAACUUCGUG
rnacentral:rRNA from 1 species